AUACGGAGGGUGCAAGCGUUAUCCGGAUUUAUUGGGUUUAAAGGGUGCGUAGGCGGCCUUUUAAGUCAGUGGUGAAAACCUGCGGCUCAACCGUAGGCGUGCCAUUGAAACUGAAGGGCUUGAGUCACCAUGAGGCAGGCGGAAUGUGUAGUGUAGCGGUGAAAUGCUUAGAUAUUACACAGAACACCGAUUGCGUAGGCAGCUUGCUAAAGGUACACUGACGCUGAUGCACGAAAGCGUGGGGAUC
rnacentral:rRNA from 1 species